UACGUAGGGGCCAAGCGUUGUCCGGAAUUAUUGGGCGUAAAGAGCUCGUAGGCGGUGUGUCGCGUCGGCCGUGAAAACCUGCAGCUUAACUGUGGGCUUGCGGUCGAUACGGGCAGGCUAGAGUUCGGUAGGGGAGACUGGAAUUCCUGGUGUAGCGGUGAAAUGCGCAGAUAUCAGGAGGAACACCGGUGGCGAAGGCGGGUCUCUGGGCCGAUACUGACGCUGAGGAGCGAAAGCGUGGGGAGCGAACAGG
rnacentral:rRNA from 1 species